CUGCCGUUUACCAAACGUCUGCGCGCAGAGAGGUCUCGGACUAGAUGAAUAAAUAACUCUGGCUGAGUGCCUCAUACUAGAGCUUGUGCAAGCUGGUGUAGCAGAAAUAGCUCAGGGUAGAAACUCCCAGAACGAGGCGCAAGCCAACUUCAUGGCCAGAAACGGGCUUUUCCUGGCUGGGGAAAGCUCCAAGGACUAAAAAGGUCUGCACGGUUGCUGGGGUUGUAGCUCAGUUGGUAGAAUGCUCGCUUACCAAAAGCAAAGCCCUGGGUCCCAGCGCUCAGGAGGCAGGCGGGAGGAAUCGGCUGUCAUUGGCCGCCUAGGGAGUUCAGGCCAGACUGGGCUACAUGAGAGAUCCAGUCUCAAAGCACAAAGGAAAGGAAUAACAUGAUACAGCAAACAAUAUUCCUGGACGCUCUGCUCCUGAGACGGAUCCAGGGAGUGAUCUCUCUGUGGAGGUGAUAAGAGUCUGGGCCCAGACCCGCCUGUACUCUGAUUUGUCCCUCCUGUAAAAUAACUCCUGACUAGACAUUAACAUUUUUAAGGUUUCAUUUGUGUGUGUUUGUUUAUCGAGACAGGGUCUCUCUACAAAGCCCUGUCCUCCCACCUGUUAACCCUUCAAAAAUGUAAAAGGAGAUAUUGGACAAUGGUCAUUCUAGACCCUGGAGGCAGGAGGUUCCAGAGUGUAAGACCGGGUGAUGUGAAACUGACUCAAAACACAGUAAAAAGGUAAAAUAGAAAUGCUGAUGUUGAGAAGCUAAUCUUCCUUGACAUAUGGAGCGAAGAUACUCCAUGCUGCUCUUCCAAUGCUAGCAUAUCUAAUGAUGGGAAAGGAGGAUUUGCUGGGUGGUUAACAGCACCGGAUUAGGGUCCCAUUCCCAACCCACACAGCUAUAACUCCACUUCCAAGGGAUCCAGUGCAGUCUGUGACCUCCCCAAGCAUCAGGCACACGGUACAUAUACAUAUGUGCAGGCAAAACAUUCACUUACAUAAAAAUAAACCCUUGGACUGGACAUGAUGGUGCACGCCUUUAAAUCCCCACACUUGGGAGGCAGAAGCAGGUGGAUCUCUGUGAGUUUGAGGCCAGCCUGACCUGUUUGAGUCCAGGCAGCCAAGGCUACACAGAGAAACUCUGUCUCAAAAAAACUACAAAAAAAAAAAAAAAAAAGGGUGGGGGUGGGGGAUGCUGAAGUAAGAGCUUACUGGCAGAGCAGUUGCCUACAGCAGUCUGGGGUCUGGGUUUAGUGUCUGUCCCCGGCAAAAAGGAAAGACUUUUUAUUCUUUGUUUUGAGGCAAAGUGUUCUGUAGCUCAGCCUGUGCUCUUAACUAGAUACAUAGUCCAGUGUGACUUCUUGUUGCUGUUUGUUUUUCUUUUUCUUGCAAUGGUGUUUUGGCUGCAUGCCUGUCUGUGUGAGAGAAUCAGCAGCCCUGGAACUAGAGGUACAGAUAGAUGUGAGCCGCCAAGAACAGCAGUAGCUGUGGAGCGUGUGCUGCAGAGGGUAGAGCUGGAGAAGUGACCCAAGCCUUUAGCGGAGCCCAGAUCAUGAGAGGAUCCCAGACACUGGACACGGAAUUAUUUCCAUUAUUGGAAUUGUGGUUUACUUUGUUCAAAUGCUGACUGGUUCUUCCCUCUUGAGCUACUUCACAUGAGAGCCGUCUCUUGCUCACUGCAGUCUCCAAGGUUUCCACUAUCAAGUAAGCUGACCUUUUCAAAUUGAAUGAAGGCCUUCGACAGCUGGAGAAACAUGUAGAGGCUGGAGUCCCCGCCUUUAAGGGAGCGAUUCAGCUGGUUUGAGCCUAAUGUUUGCUAGGUGAAGUGGACUGGCAAACAGCUGGGGUCUCUCUCGGCCCAUGACUUGGGUGGCCAAAAGCCAACCUGCUGUCUGUAGCCCUUUCUGCCUUUCCGCGCAUGAGCAGCCUGCUGCUUCCAGACCAGCCUCGAAGGACCUGUACAGAGCCCCAGUGUUCAGGGUUCACACUGUGAAUCCGAUGGAUGCGGCCACCAUCGUGAAGACGCCUUCAAGACUGGAUUGAGGAAGGUGGGGCGAAACUGGCCAUUGGGCCAGAGUGCUGUUGCCACAGGCAGUGCAGGAGCCUGAGUCUGUGUGCCUUCACACCAAACGCUCCUCCCCAAUGGCUCAUGGCAUGGGAUUGUGCAGUUACGAAGGAGACCGCACGCUCUAUUCAGCAGCAUACAGACUAACCGAGAGCAAUACAGAGAUUAGCAUGGCCCCUGUGCAAGCAUGACAUGCAAGCUCAUGAAGCAUUAUUUUUCUGUUUUUUAUUAUGUUAAAAAAAAAAAAAGAAAGCUUUCCAAAGGCUGUAUUUGGCAUGAGCUGAUGCCACUGCGAAUGCUGCCAGUGGCCAGGCACAGGCGCGUGAAGCCCUGAGGAGUUGGGAGGGAGGAUGAGCGGGCAGAAGAGGAAAUAGCCAGUGCAGGUCCCUGCCCUAGGAGCCCAAGGGAUAAAGGUCCUGCAUUAAAGGACCAUAUACAUGAUCCUCUUUGGUCAGGCAAAGACCCCUUAUACAGGUCUAGAAGGCAAAAGGGCACAGGCUCAGCCCUGGAGCCUCAGCUGUAGGCUCAUCACACUGAGGUAAGAGGCAAGGCAAGAAGAUAGAGCAGGGUCAGGCUGUCACCACCCAGCUCCUAGGAACUGCCUCUAUCUUUGUCAUCCAUCAGGUCAUACCUAGGGAAACAAGGACAUGAGUUCAGACAGAGUGAAGACUCGUGCAUCUGUUUUGUUUUCUGAGGUAGGGUCUCUCAUUCUGUCUUAGCCCAGGCUGCUCUUGAACUCUCAACUCUCCAGCUCUCCACAGGCCCACUUGUGUUCUCUCGUGAGUAAAAGACAUGCCAAGGGCUUCUGCUAAAGAACCAACGGUUCUCAGCUUUGGUUGUGACUGGGGUUUCUCCAGAGCACAGAAGCAGAAGCAGUCUCAUCCCUUCUGUGUGACACUUACCACUGGGCUGCGCCCUGGGAAAGGUCCAUCUCAGCGAGAUCCAGCUGCACCUGGCGGGGAGGACGGCAGGGGCAAGAUGUUGUUCUGGUAUUUCCAAAGAGCAUGUCCCAUCAUCAUAGACUUCUAUAUUUUCAAAGGACUCAAAGAGGAUAGGGUCCCUGACCGGGUGGCACCCUGCUUGUCUCCGGUCCCAGCAGCAUUAAUUCCUUGCCUCUGCCUGGCCCUCUUACCUUUCCCAGAAGCUCACGCUCUCUUGACAUGAAGGAGGAGUUUGACUUCACAGAAACAUGGAGCUUCCGCCUGAGAGACCCAUCCAGUGGCAGCUCCCACUCAAACCUGGGGAAGGCACGCGAUGGUAGAGCCGGGGGCCAGCUGAAGCCCUCCCUGUCUCCAUGUAAAUGCCCAUUUACUGACCGCUCAUUGAACUCAGGAUUGAGAGUCCGCUUCUUCUGUGAGGUCUUCCUCUUGGUGACCCGGUUCUUGUCCGGCAGUAGCAACAGUGACACAUACGGGUCUGGGAGAUCACGUCCGUUUGGCUGAAGGGCCCUGCAACACAAGGAUGUGGGCACUGGAGCACUCAAGGCAAAGGAUGGAGGGGACGGCGGAGGACAUUUGGCAGCAUCUCACCGGCAGCUGUGAAUAAUGCUGAUCAGCUUUUGUUCAUCACUGUGGUACCACACCGUCAGCUUCACCUGGCCCAGAGGCCCAACAGGAGCCUCCGAGGGACUGUGGAGAGACAACAGCAUGUCAGAAGAAGAGGACAGCAGAUUCUAGGAUAGAUGGCUGUGAGCCACCAUGCAGUUGCUGGGAACUGAACUCAGGACCUCUGGAAGAGCAGCCGGCGUCUUACCUGCUGAGCAUCUCCAGCCCCCAAAUCCUUUUUCAGUGCUGGGGAUUGAAGCUAGGGUCUUGAGCACACUAAGCAAGCACAGAGCUGCACACAUCCCAAACCCAAAUUCUUAGCAUGCUAUUCAGGAGUCCCUAUGCUCAGCCUCUCUAUAAUAAACUUCUUUUUUUUUUCUUCCUUACCCUGAAAGGUGUUCCUGCUCUAUUUAAAACUUCCUGGUUUUAUUUUAUUUGUGAGAGAGAGUAUGCACACAAUCUGUGCAGGCACCAUCAAGGAUGGCAGGAGGCAUCAGAUCCUGUGGAGCUGUGGUGCCUGCUGAGCUCCACCGCUGACCUUUCUAGUCUUGUUGGUUGCGGCCUGUCUGCCCUUAAGUUCACAAGCCUCCCAAGGAUGUUUUCCUCACUGCCCCACCUCAUCCCUGCCUUGUGGGACCUCUCCUUUUCUCGCCAUAUUUCCUGCCUGUACACUUACUUAUGCUUCUGUAAGUAUCCUCUGGUUAUUGUCCUCCCAUAACAGAGGGACUCCUCAGGGUGAGGACUCAGGCUUUCCUUCCCUUUUGUUUUUUUUUUUUUGAAAUGGGGUCUUACUAGCUCAGAUUGUCCUUGAACUCAGGACAGUCCUCCUGCUUCGGACUCUCAAGUGUUGUGACUACAGGUGUUUGUCACCCUGUGCCUGGUCUGUGGCUGGAGUCCACGGGUCCCCUGUGCAGUGCGUUUACAGUACCUGCAGCUCCAGGCUCUCAGCGUGUGGCUUCUUGAUGAGAAAGGAGGCACUCUCCUCCCAGACAGGGGCUGCCGUUUGUGAGACAGUCUGUUGGUGAUGAGGGGUUAUGAUGAGUGGCAGGCCUCAGUCUUGAGUCUCUUGCUGCCCAUUCUUAACAGUGAAGGGUCCCCUUACAAAGCAUCUUGUCCUACCUUGGUUUUAUAAGAAGUCUCUCCUACGGUGAGAGUAAUGUAAGGGUUGGGAAGUUUGGUCCCUUUUCGGAGCUGGAAACAGAAUAUCAUUUACUCAUAAAUUUGGAUCUAGUUAAGUCUCCCCUUCAUACAAAGUAAAGCCAGUUAGCCCAUAGCCACAUCUCCACUUUCACGUGAUCAUCCUCAUAACUUUGGAUAAUCUCACCCCAGCACCAUCCUCAAGUGGGACCCUUAACUCUUCCAAUUCUACAAGGAGCAUUUACACCCAAGGGCCUGAAGAUGGGCUAGGGAGCUCUGGGGAGCUGCUCGCUCUUGGCUCUUACCGGCAGAUCUUCCGCUCGCUCCAAGUAGACUGACAACAGGGCUGCCGCCAGCUCCGCGCUCUUCUGAGUCUGGAUCAGGCUGUUCACCUGCAGCACCUGGGACACAGUAGGCUGUGAUGGGACCUGACAGAAGGGCUCACCUUGCCCCAUCCUGUCUCCAGCUGCUCUCCUCACCUCCUCCAACUCAGCAGCAGUGGGUCUAGGGGUCAGACGCUCCAGGCGCAAGUGCAGGCGGCCAGAUGGGACAUCCUCCAGGGUCAGCCACUAUGAAUACAGGCAGGAAAAGUCUUGAGGAUGAGAGAACAGAAAUGAUGAAAAUGAGGCUUGGUCCAGAUCAGGAGGGCCUGGCUCUCAUGCUCACCUCAUCAAGGAAGCCACUGUUGAGGACCGUGGUGAGACUCACUCUAUACCUGUGGUGGAGAAUGAAGAUGAGGGCCUUAUGGUUGAUACCGUGGCUUGUGGUGCCCAGCCUAUCUGUCCACUGGAACUUAGUCCUACACAUUUUCUUUUUCUUUUGGUUUUUUCAAGACAGGGUUUCUCUGUGUAGCCCUGCCUGUCCUGGACUCACUUUGUAGACCAGGCUGGCCUCAAACUCAGAGAUCCACCUGCCUCUGCCUCCCUGGUGCUGGGACCACAGGUGUGCGCCACCACAGCUGGCUCCUUCCUACCCUCUCACCUGCCCAAAAAGUCAUCUUUGUCCACGUCCUUGUCAAAGACCUCAAGCUCAAGCUCCUGGCCUGGGAUUGAUGUGACAAUAACCUAAUGGGAGAAAACAGUGCGGAUGAAAGGGAUAUCUUCACUUUUCUUCCCGUGACUGCCAGCAGCAGCCGCUAUUGCUACAGACAGGAGAGUCCCAGCCACUCACUUCUGACCUCAAAAACCUCAUUCCAUCGGGGAUUGAGAUCUUCCCGAACAACGCGAGUCCGGAAGCUCUGCCCUGCCACCUUCAGUUUGACGUAGGGGUCUGAUUUGCCCUUCACCAAUCCCCCUAAGAAACGGUCUUUGGCAAUUAGGUCCUGAGCCGCUAAUACAUGGAUCCGAAGAACAUUCUGUGGAAGGAACAGAUGGGCAAGGCCUCUCAGAACCACCCCUAACACAAGCAGAGAGAGCCUUACAGUUUCUAGGUAUCGACUUACCUCAGUCCCAAAGUGGCUGUUAGGAGUUGUAUGAUAGGGCCGAGGUGGGGCAUCCACACUGCUGCCUGUUUGGGGGCUCUCGCUGUCCAGGUCCCUGGCACCAGGCACAGGAGGGAAGCAGACUUCCGAUGCAUCUAAGUAUAAGAUCUGCGAAAGACAGUGUGAUUGCAGGAGCAAGGAGGCACGGAUGGGCACAGUCAGGAGAUGAGCCACAGAGCUGGGGGGCAGGGCAGAGCUCAUCUCAUUCCUUCCCCCAGUCACAUCAGAGAGCACUUUCGAUGUGCCUGCAGACACUUCAGUAUUUGCUAGCUCCUCUUCCAUGCUCUGAAUACCAAGGGAUCCACAGGGCUCCCCAGCCUCCUGCGCUUCCUCCAUUGCCAUACCCGCAUGACCAGUUUCAUGUAGAGCCUGGAGUUUGGGCCUGAGCUGCUGAGCUGGAACCACUGGUCCAUGGUAAGUUCAGAGGCAGUUAGCAGGCGAGCCAGGGGGAGAGUCAGUGCCCCCAAAGUCAGGGCCCUGGAGUCAUCCUUCACCUACGGGAGCAGGAGGAAAGAGGGACAGUCAUUAGGGAAGAGGAAGGUGUAUUGAGGAAACUAUAACAUGACUCCAGCUCUGUUCUCCCCCCUAUUUCCCUCUGAAAGUUAUAAACCUUUUGUUCCACUCAGGGCAUAUUUUUACCGUAUUUUGUCAACACUACCGUCUCUUCUACUUUUGCUCUUUCUGUUCCCUAAGUAAGUUUUCAUUCUUUCCCUCCUGCCUAUUUCAACCCUACUUAUCUAUCCUUUAGGCUCGGCUGAAACCUUUGUUCAUGGUGUGUGAAUGAUGGUGUACAUCAUUAGGAUGUGUCCCGUGUGUACGUGUGGAGGUCAGAGAACAAUUUUGUAGCAUUGGUUCUCUCUUUCCACCUGUAUGUAUAUUCUGGGGAUUGAACUCCAGUCACCAGGCUGUAUAUCUUUACCCACCGAGCCAGGGCUUUGCUGGCUCCAGUCUGCAAAUUCUAUUUGUGCCUGCCCCCAUGUCUUCCUUGACCACCUUCAAUCUGUGCAGAACUUACAUGUUUCCUCCAUAAAACUGGGCAGUGAGCAAGGAAGCUAUGACACAGUGUUUUGAUUCUUCCAUGACUUCUAAAUGCUGGGUGUUAAUUUUUAUAGGAGCACAGUCUGCAUUCCUCAAAAUUACUCAUUUCAAAUAUAGUUUCCAGUUAUAAAAAUCAAUUCCAGGCCAGGUAUGGACUAAGACAGAGGCAGGUGAAUUUCUUUGAGUUUGAGGCCACCCUGGCCUACACCAUGAGGCCCUGUCAAAAAACAAAGUUGGACGUGGUGGCUCACACAUUUAAUCCCAGCAGCUGGGAGGUACAAAUGAAGCCCUACCCUGAAACCUACCCCCCCCCGUCUGUCUGUAUGUAUGUCUUUCUCUCUCUCUCUCUCUCUCUCUCUCUCUCUCACACACACACACACACACCAAUAAAACUUGAAAAGACAGGAUAAGGCUGCUGCUCUUACCUGCACAUCAAGCUCCUGGCUUUGAGGGUCUUGCAGGAAAAAUCGGAAAGCCUCUUCCCACACUGGGCAGUUGGUACUGUAGGUAGCCUGAGAGGUGAUGGCACAGACCAUGUACCCAACACCAUUCCCAUUUGGGUUGAAACUCUGAACUCGCAACCAUCCUGUGGCCCCUUAGCCCCAACCAAUGAUGCUGUGACCCUUACCUUGCUCUCUUGGGUCACAUCCUGAACUGACAGUUGCACCAUGGGGUUGGGUUCCUUGUUCCCCUUCUUCAGCUGUGUUGGGGAACAGAAUUUAGAAGUCAUCCCUUGAGUGUUGGAUAUUUGGGAUUAAAAGACCCUUUUCCUCAA